GUACACAACCUUCUCCCCUAAGAGCAGUCCCUCACGGGUACAGAACCUUCUCCCCUAAGAGCAGUCCCUCACAGAUACAGAACUGUCUCCCCUAAGAGCAGUCCCUCACGGGUACAGAACCUUCUCCUCUGAGAGCAGUCCCUCACAGAUACAGAACCUUCUCCCCUAAGAGCAGUCCCUCACAGGUACAGAACCUUCUCCCCUAAGAGCAGUCCCUCACAGGUACAGAACCUUCUCCCCUAAGAGCAGUCCCUCACAGGUACAGAACCUUCUCCCCUAAGAGCAGUCCCUCACAGGUACACAACCUUCUCCCCUAAGAGCAGCCCCUCACGGGUACAGAACCUUCUCCUCUAAGAGCAGUCCCUCACAGAUACAGAACCUUCUCCCCUAAGAGCAGUCCCUCACAGAUACAGAACCAUCUCCCCUAAGAGCAGUCCCUCACAGAUACAGAACCAUCUCCCCUAAGAGCAGUCCCUCACAGAUACAGAACCCUGAUAAUUUAUGUUCAUUAAGUAAUAUAAUGAACCGAUACUCUCUAUAUAAAGACUGAUAUGUGAACUGAUAUGAGGACGUGAUGAUGUUUAUAUAUUUACAUAUUUAUCUCCUCAUACGUCCUCAUGUGUUACUAUCAGUUCCACAUAUCACUUUAUUCACACAUUAGUAGUUUCCAUGGUUACGGUGUGCAACAACCUGGUACUCAUAGUAAACAAAUAAUACACACUGUCAUGUUUCUGCUCUGUAAAUAGUAUACCACUGAGGUUCUGCAGCUAGCGCACACUUCUACACACUGAUACACACUUUUAAACACUAACACACACUUCUGCACAGUAAAUUAACACUCCAACACACACUCUAACACACACUCUAACCAACACUCAACACACACUCCAACACACUCCAACACACACUCCAACACACUCCAACACACACUCUAACCAACACUCCAACACACACUCUAACACACACUCUUGCACACACUCUAACCAACACUCCAACACACACUCUAACAUACACUCUAACACACACUCUAAC
ensembl:lncRNA